AAUCUGUGAUGAGCCUCCACUUCAGGUCCGUGUUUUUGAAAACUCUGAUAGUUACGAAGUUCUGAGUUU